CUGUAUUGUUCUCACGGGCUAGCUUACUUAAGUGACUAAGCUUACAGACCCCUUCCACCAAAUCAGCUACCCCUGCUCCAAAUGUCCUAAAUAUAUAGUCAUAGCUUAAAAAAGAAUCGUCAAUAGUGUCAUGUAAAAGCCCUGCAGCGACCACUGUAGAGUUAGCCCCAAUCAUUGCGAGCAAAACUGCAGUCUCCACACAAUGCUGCAAAUAUGGAUCUCCACUUGCCCGCAUCUGUCCUCUAUGAGCUUUCUCAGCUUCAUAAAAAGCCUUCACAACAAAAUCUUCACAAAAGAUUUUGUGCCUCAUUUGCGCAACCAUCAGCAAUUCUUUGGCAUAAGGCUCGUUAUUAGCCUCCACAAAACUAUCCUCCAUAUUAAAUGUCAAUUCAUCCACAGCAAUAGAUGAAGAACCCCCAUCAGUUCCAACACUGUGAACAUCAAAACUCGGCGAAUCAUAAUCAACACAAGAUCCUAGCGCAUGUCUAACGAACCCAUUAAACAAUCCACUAGCCCCACUGCGAAAUGAACCAUGAAUUGAGCUUUGGAAACUCAUAUCAGCACUUCUUUCACGAGCAAUCCUCAUGGGAGGACUACUAGAACACGAGACUGGCCCUUGCAGCACCGAUAUUGGACUUUGAUCCCUCUUUAUAGAAGACCCACCGAGAUAUUUACUCGGUGAUAAGCGAAACGAACUGCUCAAUUCCUUCAAUUCCUCUCCUCUAUCAUGCCACAAAGAACCCAAUUCCUCUCUAUCACCCGAAAACGAUGAAUGUUUCACAGUUGAAGACGAGAACAAACACGACAAGCCACCUACCACAGAUUUCUGUGAAGAAGAUGAACUAGAUGAAGCUACCGAUGAAGAUCUCGAGGUCAGCUCAAAAUCAUACGUCGCGUGUGCAUUGAUUUGGCACGUAUGUGGUGCUGAACAUACGCUGCUAGGUGGGUUCGCAUACAAAGCUAUUGUUGAGACCGCCAUGGCUCUAUCGAAACCAGAAUUUGUUAUAGAUCACAAACCCAAAUGAAACCCAAACCAAGUAAUAUGUUCAACUCAAAUCAAAUUUUAACAAAAACCCACAAAUUUUUAUAAAAGAUUAUGUGUUCAUAAGAAUGACCCAGAAAUUUUUUAGAGAGAACCAAUUGGAUCUUGAUGAUUAAAAACCCAGGAGACCCCACACUGGCUCAUAGUUUUGUACAUAAACACAUCACAUCAACAAAUAAGCAGAGAACAGAAAAUUUGGAGAGAGCAUCUGUUGUUUUGGAGAGAUGCUACAGUAUGUACAAAUUUAUAGAAAUUUGCUUUGACUUGAGAGAUGAACACAGAAGAGAUAGAAAACUAAGGAGAAUUUACAGAAAUUAAGCCCCAAAUGUUGAAAUUUAAAGCAAAGA
rnacentral:misc_RNA from 1 species